AAAUUUUCUAUGAUAUUUCAUCGGGAUAAAAUAUCGAAAUAAAAUAUCGACACGAAACAUCGACACAAAGAGACUGAGUAAAGUGAAAACCGCAAUGGCCGGUAAGUCGAUUAGAAAAUAUACGACAUUUCUCCGAUUCUUUUUUCUUCUUUGACACAACGCAUGAAAAGUCUGACCUCACGGUAUACGUUGGAUCAAAGCAAGUUUCUCUCGUCGUGCAUUGAGGCCGAUUCCACGGCGUAAUGCACAUAUAUGACUUAUUAAGUCAAGUUUAUGACCGACGAACAAACACGAAGAAACAUCAAAUUAUAAGCGUGACAAACAUCAAUGAACAUAAUCUGCAACAUGUUGUAUACUUACUAUACUAGUAGUAUCAUUAAAUCUCUUAACAUAAACAUAAAUAUAUAAAGGUGUAUAUAUGUGAGAUGUACGAGUAUGAGUGUAUGGAUACUUUCACUAUGGUCGAGGUCUCCCAUAUACAACGCGAUUCCGACUUCCUUCCAUAAUAGAUAUGAACUUUCUCCGGUUUCGCAGCAGCUGCGGCUCGAUCGCAUGGUCACGUUGCGUCAUGUUAAAUCUAGAUUCCGUGAUAAGCGAUAUAAUAAUGCAAAGGUGUUAAUGAAAUAUUAAUAAUUAUAUUGGUAAACGAAGAUGACAUUUGGAUGUUUGAAGAAAGGGUGAAAAUAAACGGUAUUAAAAAACA